UGAGAAUUUUUAUUUUUUUAAUAAAUCCCAAAGUCAAACUGAAUAUCACGUGUUCAAAGAGAAGUUGCAGACAAAACCUCUCUAUCUCUCUUCCCUGCAGAUCAAAGUACAUCAAAAACCCUACACGCCCUCCCACCCUUCUUUCCCUUUCCUCUGCCUCUUCUUCUUCGUUCCAUCUGUAUCAUCUCUUCUCCAUCUUUUCUUUUCCAUUUUGAGCUAGGGUUAAAAAACCCAAAAACAACCCUUCUGUAUCUCAGUUUGUCUCUGAAAUACAUACCCCAUCUUUGCUUAAAACUGCAAUUGUUAAAUUUUUGUUUCAAAAUUCAAAUGGAUUUCAAACACCCACCUCUAUAUUCCCUCUUCAUUCAAAUGCCAACAACCCUAAUCAGAUUUCAAAAUCUCUGAAUCUUCAAUCUCCUAAUCUAUGAAUCUUUAAUCAUCUAUGAAUCUCCAAUCUUCAGAUCCUCUUCAUUGGUCCAAUUUCUUAUGUUUCAAAGAUUGGAGACAGUAAGGUUAUUGAGAUUCCGUAAUCAGGUUAGCGAUUUGUAAGAUUUAGUUUAUCUGUGUCCGUUAAAUGUUGUCAAUUUAUGUUAAUGAUGUUAGGUUUUCAUGUGGAACGACGGUGGUGUCGUUAUUGUGGCUAUAGGGUGGUUAGUGGCGGCCGGGAUCCAAAUCCCGAUUUACAAAUAUGGUUGAUAUUUCUUUUGAACUCUGGCAAAAAUCCAAAUCUCCGGCGAACCAGAUCUGAGUUAUGGUGAAAAUCCGAAUCUCUAGAGUAUAUGGUGAAAAAGCUUGAUAUAGAGGAAAGAAAAGUUCUGGAAAUGUGUGUCCAACUCUACAAGGAUUAUCGAC